GAUGAACGCUGGCGGCGUGCCUAAUACAUGCAAGUCGAGCGAACAGACGAGGAGCUUGCUCCUCUGACGUUAGCGGCGGACGGGUGAGUAACACGUGGAUAACCUACCUAUCAGACUGGGAUAACUUCGGGAAACCGGAGCUAAUACCGGAUAAUAUAUUGAACCGCAUGGUUCAAUAGUGAAAGACGGUUUUGCUGUCACUUAUAGAUGGAUCCGCGCCGCAUUAGCUAGUUGGUACGGUAACGGCUUACCAAGGCAACGAUGCGUAGCCGACCUGAGAGGGUGAUCGGCCACACGGGAACUGAGACACGGUCCAGACUCCUACGGGAGGCAGCAGUAGGGAAUCUUCCGCAAUGGGCGAAAGCCUGACGGAGCAACGCCGCGUGAGUGAUGAAGGUCUUCGGAUCGUAAAACUCUGUUAUUAGGGAAGAACAAAUGUGUAAGUAACUAUGCACGUCUUGACGGUACCUAAUCAGAAAGCCACGGCUAACUACGUG
rnacentral:rRNA from 1 species